rnacentral:rRNA from 1 species
GUUUAACGGCCGCGGUAUUCUGACCGUGCAAAGGUAGCAUAAUCACUUGUUCUCUAAAUAAGGACUUGUAUGAAUGGCCACACGAGGGUUUUACUGUCUCUUACUUCCAAUCAGUGAAAUUGACCUUCCCGUGAAGAGGCGGGAAUAAAAAAAUAAGACGAGAAGACCCUAUGGAGCUUUAAUUAACUAUUCCAAAAGUUAAACAAUUCAACCACAAAGGGAUAAAACAUAACUUAACAUGGACUAGCAAUUUCGGUUGGGGUGACCUCGGAGUACAAAAAACCCUCCGAGUGAUUUUAAUCUAGACAAACCAGUCAAAAUAACCAUAACAUCACUUAUUGAUCCAAAACUUUGAUCAACGGAACAAGUUACCCUAGGGAUAACAGCGCAAUCCUAUUCUAGAGUUCCUAUCGACAAUAGGGUUUACGACCUCGAUGUUGGAUCAGGACACCCAAAUGGUGCAACCGCUAUUAAAGGUUCGUUUGUUCAACGAUUAAAGUCCUA